rnacentral:lncRNA from 1 species
GGAGGCGCGGUCCUUCCAGCCUCUUGCUCCUGUGAAUCACAGGUCGGCGGGAGCCUUUUUUCCUUUUUUUUUUUUUCCCGGGGAGUCGGCCUCGGGGCUCUGCUCUCCUACCUCAGUCUGCCCUACCCUGGAAUGGGGAAAAUGCGGACAUGCCACUCAGUCCGGCCGCGAACAGUGCUCCAGAACUCAGAGAGUUUUCCAGACGGGUGGAGAUCGCGUUCCCUGCCCGCCGAGGUCCCAUCGCUUCCCUGCUGGGAAGACAAAUGAGGCGCUUUAGCCGUCUCCACGGCCAGCCCCUCCCUCAUAACCCGAGAUUCUUUGUGGGCUCUUAGUCCAUAGCUGCCUUUGAGGUGGUGUAGACCUUGCUAACCAGGACGGCCCAGUAGGCAGAGCUCAUUUUUAUUCCUGUCUGCAAUCGUGCAAAAACGCCUCUUAUGGAAAAGCCAGAGCGCCAGGAGUCAGCAAAACACACUAAAGAUUGGGCAGUCACUGGGGAGAACACUCAGCCCGCCUGCACCCAGGUGAAAUAUACAGCCUUGUUGCUCACACAAAGCCUGUUUGGUGGUUUCUUCACACGGAUGCAUGUGACAUUUGGUGCUGAAGACCCAGGACAGGAGGACUCCUUUGGGAGACCAGUGCCCUGUUGUCGCCCUCACUCCGUGAGGAGAUCCACCUAUGAUCUCAGGUCCUCAGACCAACCAGCCCAAGGAACAUCUUGCCAAUUUCAAAUCGGAAGAUAGGAGUGUCAGGCCUCUGAGUCCAAGCUAAGCCAUCAAAUCCCCUGUGACCUGCACGUGUACAUCCAGAUGACCUGAAGCAACUGAAGAUCCACAAAAGAAGUGAAAGUAGCCUUAACUGAUGACAUUCCACCAUUGUGAUUUGUUCCUGCCCCACGCUAACUGAUACCAUAUAUUCUUCCCCCGCCCUUGAGAAUGUACUUUGUACACCUAUCCCAAACCUAUAAGAACUAAUGAUAAUCCUACCACCCUUUGCUGACUCUCUUUUUGGACUCAGCCCGCCUGCACCCAGGUGAAAUAAACAGCCCUGUUGCUCACACAAA